UUACAUGCUAGAGGGAGUGGGGUAAAAUGACACAAAAGGUAAGGAUAGUAUUAGACUAAUGAAAGUUGCAAGAGAGGAAUCAGCCGGGAGCUAUUGACAGUUUAAUUGAUACGCUUUUAUGAAGAAGUGGGUUUUUAAUUAUUUUUUUGAAGGAGUGGAGACUAGGUGAGCAUCUAACGGAGGAGGAAAGUGAGUUACACAAAAACAGUGCUGACAGAAGGGUGAGGCGUGGGAGGUGCGGGCGGACAGAAAGAUGAGCCUCACGCCACAUUCAUUAUGGACUGUAACGGUGCAAGUUGGGAGCACAUAAGACCAUUGAGAAGCGCAUUAUGUAGGGUACAUAUCUGGCGUUAUGUAGGGUCAGAUGUGCGCAAUGUUUUUGAGAUGGAAGCGACAGGAUUUGGCGAUAGACUGAACAUGAGGCGUGAAGGAGAGGUCGGAGUCAAAGAGAACACCCAGGCAGCGAGCCUGCGUGGUGGAGCUGAUGGUAGCACCAUUGACUUGCAUAAACAACUCUUUCAAGGAUCUUGGAUGCAAAAGGCAGUAGCAAGAUAGGACGGUAGCUGGAUGGGGAGUUAGGGUCAAGGUUGGGUUUCUUUAGAAUUGGGGUUACAGUUGCAUGUUUGAAGGGCGAUGGAAAUAUGCCAGAGGAGAGAGAGAUUGAGAAUUUUAGUGAGAGGUAGAGAAAGAAAAAGAGAGUAUGGAUGAGAUGCGAUGGAAUUGGAUCUAGGGAGCAGGUGGGGCGGGAGGACUGGAGCAGAGCAGAAACCUCUUCCGCUGUAGUGGGUGCGAAUGAACAUAGAACAGCAGAGGGAGUGAUGUUAGGGGAAGUAUUGUAAGAGGAAGAAGAAAGAUGAGAGGAGAUCUCUUCCCUGAUUGUAGAGAUCUUGUCAGUUAAGUGAGUUGCAAAGUCUGAGACGGUCAAGUUAGUAGGAGGAGGAGGAACAAUAGGGCGAAGAAGAGAGUUAAAUGUGUGAAAUAGUCGUUUGGGUUCGUGGGAGAGUAUGGUUAUGAGCGUAUUGAAGUAAUUUACUUUAGCAGAGGAAAGAGCCAAGCUGCAUGAGCGCAGCAUAAAUUUAUAGUGGAGAAAGUCAGACGCACAGUGAGACUUUCUCCAACAGCGUUCAGCAGUUCUGGAGCAUUUUUGGAGGUAUUGAGUCAGCUUGAUGUGCCAAGGUUGUUGUUGGGGACGUUUGCUUCGUUUAAAUGUAGGAGGUACCAUGAUGUCUAGUUGAGAGGAGAGAGUGGAAUUGUAGGAGGUUGCAGAGCUAGGACAGGUGAGGUUUGAGAUAGGUAAAAGGGGAGUUUGGAGAUUAGUGGAGAAAUGCUCUAGGUAAAGACAUUGGAGGUUUCUGUGAGAUUGAUGUUCAGACGGUGGUGUCAAUUGGGUCUAAGGUAUGCUGAUUUCAAAAGUCAGCAGAUGGUGGUCAGAUAGAGGAAAAUAAAUAAUGGAGAGAUUAGAGGUGGUACAGAGAUUGAUAAAGGCUAGAUCAAGAGUGUUUUCCGCUGUAUGGGUUGCUAAAUUGGACCAUUACAAAAGGCCAAAGGAGGAGGUUACAGAGAGCAGACGA
rnacentral:lncRNA from 1 species